AUAGACUUUUUAAGUAACUGACCAAUUUUAUUUUUCGAUCUUAAAUGACACUCCAUUGACUUGAUGAAAUGCGGUACUAAUAUGCUACGACAUUGUGUAAAUUGAAAAUGAAUGAAAGAGAAAUAAUUUAAUUGAAUGCAAAAUUAGAGUGUAGACAACUAAUGAGUUGUUUAUCUCUAAUGACCCAAAAUUGAUUAAUAAAUUAUAUUCAAUCAAUAGGCUAUCUCCAAUGAAUAUAAAAUCAGGGUCUCCAAUAAUUAUUAUAUAUAAAAUUAAAUAUUAAGUUUGGUUCUGGUUUUGGUUUUAGUUUUUGAACUAGAAUUAAACCAGAACCAAAAUCAAAUGGUUCUCGGUUCAAAGAACCAAAACCAUUAAUUUUUUUUAUAGAACCGAACCGAAUCGCUUGGUUUGGUUUGGUUCUGGUCUGGUUUAGUUUGAUUUGGACGUUUUGUCCAUCCCUAAUGUGGGCCAUUUGAAAUAUCGAUAAAAUCUAAAAAUUUUAUUGAAAAUGUACUGAUUAUAGGAACUGAAUAUUGAAUUACUUCUCUCCUAGGAGCAUAUUUAAACCGAUUUUUAUCGAAAAGUUGUUUCUUGUAUCAAUUUAACCAUAUCUCAAAAAGUUUUUAUUUUCCUCUCUAUAUAACUAUAUUUUGAAUGAAUUUUCUCGGAGAGAGCAUUACAAUUUGAGAUCAAAAUGUAAACAGAUUAAAAGUAAGUGGAUGAAAUUGUGGUAUUGUAACACUACUUGGUGAUGUUAAUUUUGGUCUUGCUACUUUAUUCCCAUGGGAGGAAUGGAGUAGCCCACACUGUAGCAUCCUUUCUUUCUCCAAUUUUUGAUAUCACUAGUUGGACUUAUCUGCAUUCCAUUAUAUUUGUCGACCAUAAUUCGUGGUUAUAGAUUUUGUCAAAAGAGAAAAGUGAUGCAAUUAUUUUGGAACUUAUAGACCAGAUUGAUUAACGGGAUAAACAUUUUCCCUGUUGUGAUAGGCACACAUUGAUUUAUUACAGCAUCUCUGAGUUAGGAUGCAUACGAGUGCGAUGCAAUGAUGAGGAAUGUAACUUGACACUAUUGAGAAAUAUCUAACCAAAAUUUCAGAAUCUUUUGCUAGUCUUUGCCGUGAGAAAGAAAAUGCCUGAAGAAUUGAUCGAUCUAUAUAAAAAGAAUGUAUCGGUGUCUUUGUUAUGAGAAUUUCAAACACAUUUAGUUCCUGAAAUAAAGAAAAGAUUUCAGGAUGUACAACAAAAGCUAGAGUUGUGGCACGCUGUAUUAAAAGAUCUAGAUGGGAAAAAAAGAAGGUGUCAAGUGUACAAUACCUGGGAAGGAAAAUCAAAGACUUAGUUGCUAGACUUCAGAAUGUCCUUGAAACUUAUUUCAACGAGGUCCAACACAGAAGAGGCAGAAGCAUAAUUGGAAAAUUCAUUAAUGAUUUCCAAACCUUCAAGAGAGUCGAUUUAGAUGUUAAAGAAAUUAAUAUCCGGGUAAUGAUGAUCAUUUCCCAUUUCUCGAUAUUAACAACCAUUAAGAUAACAGAAGAAAUGAAUCUAGAAUCUGAGACCCGACAAAAGUUGAGGAAAAGCUUCUCUGACGCUCAAGAAAACCAUAUUGUUGGGAUGGAUCACAAACUUGAAACUCUAAAAUCUGCUCUACUUGAUGGCAAAGGCAUUGUUAUUUACAUAUACGGCAGGGGAGGCAUAAGGAAAACCGUACUUGCCCAUAAAUUAUAUAAAGAUCCGUGGUAGAAAUUGGCACUUUUACAUUUGUUCUGUAGUAAAAAUUGGCCAGAAAUUUGCAUGCAUGUAGUUAGAUUUUAAAAGUGGGACUGAACAUUCGGAUCUUUAUAUAACUUAUGGGUAAGUGCAAUCUUUCCUAUGCCACCCCUGCCAUAUAUGCAAAUAACUGUGUCUUUGCCAUCAAGUAGAGCAGAUUUUAGAGUUUCAAGUUUGUAAUCCAUCCCAACAAUAUGGUUUUCUCGAGAGUCAGAGAAGCUUUUCCUCAACUUUUAUUGGGUCUCAGAUUCUAGAUUCAUUUCUCCUAUUGUCUUAAUGAGUGUUUAUAUCGAGAAACGGGCAAUGAUCAUCAUUAUCUGGAUAUUAAUUUCUUUAACAUCUAAAUCGACCCUCUGGAAGGUUUGGAAAUCAUUAAUGAAUUUUCCAGUUAUGCUUCUGCCUCUUCUGUGUUGGACCCUGAUGAAAUAAGUUUCAAGGACAUUUUGAAGUAUAGUAACUAAGUCUCUGAUUUCCCUUCCCAGGUAUUGUACACUUGACACCUUCCUUUUUCUCCCAUCUAGUUCUUUUAAUACAACGUGCCACAACUCUAGCUUUUGUUGUACAUCCUGAACUCUUUUCUUUAUAUUAGGAAAUAAAUGUGUUCGAAAUUCUCGUAACGAUUGGAAUCUCUUGUGUGGAAUUUUUCCACAAAAUCAACUGGUAGCAAACUAAUGUUGACAACUUUGUCAAGCGAAGUAGCUUUAUAUGUGGCUCUAGAUGAUGAAGAUGUUCAUGUGAUGUGGCCUUUAAGCCUAUUUGACUCUUUGGAGUUAUUUCAGAAGACACCAUUCUUGGGGGACCCUGACAGUAAGUUUAUCUUCCUCAAUAUUCAUCCAAAUAUGAGCUACGUUUUAUUCACCAUCUUCUCCACGUACUUUGUUCCACUUUUUCAUUGGACCAGGAUUAUCUGCUUUAUCCUUUAUUCUAGGCCAUUCUUGAUAAAUUUUUUUAUCUUACGUGAUGUGAAACCUUCACACCUAUAAGAGAGUUAAUGUUAGUCGAUAUCAAAAUUAUCAAUAAAAUGAUUGGAGAUAGAUGACAUACUACUGAUCAUUAUAUAUUAGAGAGCAUUCAUUAAUCUAUAAUACUUCGUAUCAUAUAUCCAAUUAGUUUAAGAAGUGAACUCUUUAAUUUUUAUUAAUCAAACAAAGUUAAAGGUUGUCUGAAUCUGUUAUGUAACGAACUAGACCGCCACAAACGCAGAAAAUAUUUGCAGGAAUGAACUGUAGAAAGGAAUGAAUGAAACACAUAGAAUUAAAGAAUUAAUAGAUGCUGAACGUGCAAGUCAUUUUACGCCGUUCAAUAACUUUCUCACAUUCACAUUAGGACCAGAUGUAUUUAUUUCCUGUUAUUCACAAUAAAUUACUGAGAUCUAUCCACUAUUGAUUUCAUUGAAGUCAGAAAAAUCAUCGCCGACUUAAAGGAAGAAUCCAGAUUACUCUGGGUAUUUCAUCUACUGUCUUCUCAUCUCACCUGUCUCUUUCUUUAUAUUGUUGUCUUAAUUUUUAACUCUUGUCAAACGCUGGGCAGCAUCUGGACUUUACGAUACUUAGUUCCGACUUCUCUUCUAGAUGUCUCUAGGUAUAAAUAAGCUGGUUGUACCAUUGGCUAUGGCAGUUAUAAAUAGGACAUUAGUGCCUCUUGUAGGAUGACAGAGAUAUGAGCACAUAGUUGCUUUAACGAGGUGCAGUGGAGUUCUUUGUUGAGAGAUUAAUUAAGAAAUGUCAAUUAAGAAAUGUCAUUUACAUAUCUAAUAAGAAAAAAUUGUUUCCUUCCAUUCCAUUUAUAUAGAUUGAUUUUGUUUUUCACACAAAUUAAAAAUCUUAUUUAGCCCUUGUUUAAGUCCCAUUUUGAGGGAAAUAAUACAUUUUUAAAUAGUGAUUGAUGGAGAAUGUGUAGUUAAAAAUUAAAAAAAAUUUAGAUUUACGUGUAAUAUUAUUUUAUUAAAGAAUGUAUGGUUGAAAAUGAGUUUUGAAAAAAUGAAUUCUUGGAAUAAUAUGGCUCAAACAAGGGCUUAAUAUUAUUGAAAAAAUAAUUUUUGUCAAAAACUUUCCUAAUUUACUCUUAUUUAAUAAUCGACAAAUAGUAGUAAAUUGAGAAAAAAAUUGUUAUAAUUAGUCAAAUUAAAUAAAGGUAUAUUAGUAAAUGAGAAAAAAAAAAACAAUCUAAAUAAAGAAAUAGGACUAUAUAAUUGAGAUUUGAGACAAUAAGAUAAGGAAAGUCAACCUAUAUAAUUGGAACGAAGGGAGUGCAAAUUUUUUAAAAAUGAAAUGCAUUUUAUUCUCUCUCUCUCUCUCUCUCUCGUGUUAAACUCGAGAAAGUCUUGCUAUGGUAGUGAAAUGCAAAUUCUUUGAUAUUGGAAUUAAUUACCUCAUCUGUAAAAAGAAAUGAAACCCCUUUAGUUAUCUUGAUAUAAUUUGUUGAUUUUUAUGCAGUACAUAAACAAAACUACACAUUUGGAUGCACGUCUCAGAUUUUGACCUUCUUUAUUUAGUCAAAAGAAGGGUUAUGAAGGAAUAAGCUUGUGUUACUUUCUCUUCUAAUCGAUGGAAUAAAUAGCCAUUUUACAAAUAUUAGAUUCUAAAGUUUAGGAUCAUUAUUGACUAAUUUUGGAGAGCAAUACUACCUAGACACAGACUAAUAAUUUUGUAUAGCUAAUAAAAAGAGACAAUGGUGGAGUUUGGACAGAGAAGCAUAGCUUGAAGAUAACCACGCUAAUUGUCAACAUUCCCCUUCAAGUUGAUGCAUAGAUAUGAUUAAUGUACAAUUUGUCUAGGUAGCUAUUAAAUGCUUGGCUAGUGCAUCAACAAGCUGUUCUUUAGAUUGAACAUGAGGCACUGCAAUAAGCUUUUCUCUGAGUUUCUCCUUGAUAAAGUGUAUUAACCUCAAUACGUUUAGUUCUAUCAUGUUGAACUAGAUUAUGGGCAAUAUUUCAUGCUACCUUGUUAUCGCAAUAUAGCUCCAUAGAAUUGAUCUGCUUAUUACGUAAAUUUUGCAUCAAAUUCUUAGUCCACAAUAAUUUACACACUGUCUUAGCCUUUCCCCUAUAUUAUGUAUCUACAUUGGAUUUAGCUACUGCCUCUUGUUUUUUACUUCUCCAAGUUACUAAAUUUUCACCUACAAAUGUGAAAUACCCGAAUGUAGAUCAUCUAUCCUCCAUUGAUAUAGCCUAAUUAGCAUCAAAAAGCUAAAUUAGGCUUGAUAUGUGCAAGGUACAUUAACUUUCCAACUAACCUCUGAUAGCAUUCCUAGUUAGCAAGAAUUUGAUUUUGAUACACACAAGAGCGUAAAUGAUCUCUUAAACACCGAUACUUAACUUAUGUUAAGCAUCGAUGACAUGACACACCAUUUAAUUGGUGAAUCAUAUACCAAUUAAAUGUUGUGUCAUGUCACUAGUGCUUAACAUAAGCUAAGCACCAGUAUUUAAGAGAUUAUUCCUAUAUAUGUGUAUAUAUAUGUAUAUAUAUUUAUAUAAAUAUGUAUAUAUGUAUAUAUAGUAUAUAGGUACGUAUACGUAUAUAUAUGUACGUAUAUACGUAUAUAUGUACUUAUAAAUACACCUAUACAUAUACAAUAUGAGCUAUGAUGUGUUCUUUAUCAUUUUUCAAGAAUAGUAUGAUUCGAGUUUCUUCGCUUGUAUCCAGUAAACUUCAUAAAGUUCAUAAACCUUCAAAACCACAUCCUAAGUGACUGCUUCAAACCAUAUAUGGACUUUCUCAAUUUACAGACAUGUUAACUUCCAUUGAUUUGUAUAAUACAUCCAUGAGGUAACUCCAUUAUACUUCUUCUUGAAGAUCUCCAUACAAAAAUGCAUUCUUUAUAUCUAACUGGUGUAAAGGCUAGUCAAGAUUUAUCGCCAAAGAUAGUAGAAUAUGUACAGGUUUAAUUUUAGCCUCAGGCGCUAAUGUCUCCAUGUAUUCAAUCCCUUAGAUUUGAGUAUAUCCCUUGAUAACAAGCCUUACUUUGAAUCGUUCGAUCGUUCCAUCAACUUUGUAUUUAAUGGUGAAGACCCACUUACAACCAAACGGUCUUCCCUUCAAGUAAGUCAACAACUUUCCCAUGUUGAAUUCUUUUGGAAAGACCUCAUCUCUUUAUUCAUUGCUUCCCUCCAUUUAGGAUCUUUCAAAGCCUCCUGCACACUACUAGGAAUAGAUUUAUUAGACAAUUGAUUCACAAAUGCUUCACUUUCCUUUGACAAUCAAUGGUAAGACACAAAGUUACUUAUGGGGUACUUCGAUUAGGAGUUAAGAACAGGUUCAUAAACUGUAGUUUUUCCUCUUGUGGUUCGAUCGAGUAGUACCUUAGUUGGGGUUCGGAUGUUACCUGAAAUUCAGACGUAGAAUUGAUUUGAGUGAUAAAUUGGUCAACUGUUCCAUUGUAGAUGGGAGAAAUGGCUGAGCAGCUGGUUGUACCACUUCCAUCAGAUCUUAGCUGUUUUCACCUUCCAAACUGUCCCCAUUUGUCUCAUAUGGGCAAUCGUAGAUAUUAUCAAAGUUGCCAUCAUUUGGACAUUCAACAAUCUCAUCCCACUUGUUACCACUUCUAAGAUCUAAAGUUUACAAAGUAUGAUUAAAGGUCUACAAUUCGUUUCUAUUCUCCCAUUGAAUUGGAGACUUGUGAGUAGAAUUAUACAUGUCAUCCUUAUAAAAUACAACAUCAAAGGGAUGAUAUCAUUGAUAGCCUUUAUGAUGUUAAGCACAUAGUCAAUAAAUAUACACCAAAGAGCCCGAGGUUCCAACUUAUGUCUUAAUGGUUUGGGAAGAUGCACGAAGGCUACACAUCCAAAUACUUUAGGUAGCAUAGUCGGUAUAGCAAGAGCAUUUAUGGCCUCAUGAAGAACGUUUAGAAGGGUCUAAAACCGAAGUGCAUGGAAGGUACAUGAUUAAUGAGGUAAAUUGUAGCAGCGAUAACUUUAUCCCAAUAAUUGAUAGCCUGAUAGGUAUAUGAGCUUCAAACAAGGAAACACGUACAGCUUCAAGAAGUGAAGGUUAUUGCCUCCACAACCUAUUUUGUUGAGGGGGAAUAAAGACAAUUAGUUUGAUGAGCAAUGCCAUAAAUAUACAAGUACUGUUUUUUUAAGUCUUGAUUAACAAACUCUCCACCAUUAUCACCAUGGAGAACUUGUAUACUAGACUGAUACUAGGUGGAUAUCAUCUUGAGAAAUUUCUGGAAUAAUGAACUAACUUCAUUUUUUGAUUUCAUUAAGCAAAUCCAACUCAUACAAGUAUGAUCAUCAAUAAAUGAAAUGAACUAAUGUUUACUCUAAGAUAAGAAAUAUUUGCUAGACCCCAUACGUUAGAGUGAAUAACCAUAAAUUGUGAUGGAUUUUUAUUCAUACUUGCUGAAAAUGGAACACAAUGGCUUUUAGCCAUUUCACAAAUGUCACACUUAAAUCUGAAGUAGUUAAUUGUUCAUAGAACUUUGGAAAUAAUUUCUUUAAAUAUCCAAAAGAUGCAUGGCCUAAAUGUCAAUGCCAAAACCAAUUUUCUAAAUUCUGAAUUGUGCCAGAUAUAUUCAUUGAAAAAACUUAAGCCAACUGAUUUUGGCUUGUCAGCAUUAGAUCAAGAUAAUAGAGCUUCUCUCUUCUAGUACUAUAACCAAUUGUUUUCCAAGUCCGGAUGUCCUUAAAAACACAAGGAUUAGGCCAAAAAAAAUCACAAUAUAAUGCAAUAUAUGAUUUAUUUGAUCAACAUAUAUUAACUUAUGGUUGAGAGUAGAAACAAUCGAAAUAGUAUCUAAAUUCAUUCUUUUCAGUAAGAGUGAUAGAAGUUUCUUCAACAACAGGAGAGGGAGUACCAAUUUUUAGAUGACUUCAUAGAUUGAAUAUGAUGUUUGUCAAAGGACAUGUGGUCAGUAGCACUGAAAUCAAUUAUCUAUUCACUAUUGAUAUUAGGAGCAAAAGUAUGAAGAGCCUUACUAGAGGUAGCAAUUAAAGAUGAGGCUUCCUUGGGAGUGUUAAUGAAAGGUUCAACCAUUGCAACUGAGGCAUGAUGAUUUGGGUCAAAGCUCCAUUUGAGAUGCCUUGGUAGGAUCCCACCACUGUCGUUACCCAAUCAUCUCAUAGCAUCAUGACUUAGUAUGUCCAGUUUAACUGAAAUGAGUACAAAAGCAUUUUGAUUGUGUUGCUCCAAUUUCAAAGCUACACUUUUUUGAUCGAGAUGAUGGAUUUUGGUUGGUGAUGGGACCAGAUACUCGAUCUGGUUUAGGAUGUUGAGACUAGCUUUGUCGAGCCACCAUUGCAAAUAACUCUAGAUGACCAGGUUUACUGUUAAGUGUGGUUCUACGAAUAGAAUCACAACAUACAUAUGCAUAGGUUUUUUCAAGAUCCAGUACAGGAUCCUUCCGAGAAUCUCACCUCAAAUAUGUUCAAAUUCAUCAUCCAGUUCAUUCUAGAAAAUAUGUACACGCAAUCAUUCAACUGAUUUAUUAUAGGUGAUAACAUCAUCAGGAUAUUUCAUUUCAGCCUUAUUGUGAUAAUCUAAUUCCUGGAUGAUUUCUACAAGAUCACCAUAAUAGAUCGAUAGAGGACGACCAAACUAUUUGGUUGAAAAGGCUCACUGAUUUAGUGCAAAGAUUUGCAAUUCGUCUGACCCAUCAUAGAAAGCUUUGGCAAGAGCACUCCAAAUUUCACGUGCAAAGCGCAUCUGGAUAUAACGCUUCAUAAUGUCCAGCAAGAUAGAUAUUAACAAUCAUCCCUUCACAUUUUCAUUUUCGACAUACCACUUUGAAUCAAAAGCAUCAGUAGCUUGUGGAGGAGAUGUUUUGCCUAUACUAUAUUCAAGAUUCUCAUGUCAUGCAAUCUGCAUUUUCAUGAUUUGGGACCAUACACCGUGCAAUUUAUUAAGAAUGAUGGUGGCUAUGAAAUCGGAGUUUACUGAUCGAACAUGGAUAAUUUGUACAGCGGAUUUUUCUGAUGCAGGGAAUUUAGGUAUAUCAUUAGUCAUGGUGUGAAGAAUAUAGGAAUUUAGCAGUGGUAAUAUGGUUUGGUUGUAUGAGAAAGGCUUUCAUACCAAGUCAAAAGAAGUUUUUAUGGAGGAAUGAACUAAUAUCACUUUUAUCUUCUAAUCGAUGGCAUAAAUAGCCACUAUACAAAGGCUAGAUCCUAAUGUUUAGGAUCGUGAUUGACUAAUUUAGGAAAGCAAUAACUGCCUAGAUACAAACUAUUUAUUACAGAGUUCCUUAUUUAUUCUUUAUAGAUAAUAAAAAGAGAUAACGGUGGAACUUGGAUAAAGAAGCAUCAACUUGAAUAUAAUCAUGCUAAUUUUCAAAAUAUUUUACAACACCUUGAGCUAUGAUGCCUUGUAUAAAUGUAGCCUUACAUCAAUGUGGUUUUUACAUGGAUCUCCUGGUUCUUUGUAAGAUAAAUUGAACUUUGACUAUCUGAUAGAGUGCAUAAGAUUGCAUUUUUAAUGCUGAAUGCUCAUGAUUAUUUGCUAAUAUAUAAGUAUAUUUGGGGAUUAAUAAUGAUAUUUUUUUUAUAGUUGAAUGAUGGUCAAUGCUAAUUGUGGUGUUUACAAUUUAAAUGUAGAAAUGAAGCCCAAAAAUAACAAAGCUCAAGGCCCAUAAGAGAGGACUCAAUUCAAGUGGAUUUCAGCCAGCCCAUUUAGAAGAAAAUAAAUUGGAAUGAAGGGAGCAAAUCAGUGGAAGACCCUCGGCUGUGAAGAAAUCCCGAAUUGGAAGCACAGUUGCACUGUCUUUAGUAUUUUCACCAUAUCUCCCUCAUCCGAUGUCGUAUUGAGCUGAUUCAAGAGGGCUUGGAAAGAUAACUUAACGUGCUACCUUUCUGCUGAAAUAGAGAUUUUGAAAUUCCCAUGUUUUCCAAAAGAAAAAUGGCCCACAAUCCAAGGCUGAAAAUUUGCCAAAUUGACGAGGCGAAUUCGGGAUUGAUUUUUUCUUUCCUUGUGAAGAUGGCUUGAAAGAGAGCAAGGAUAAAGAGUUAUGGGGAGGGAAAAAGAAGAUUUUUUUCAACCAAGGGGGCUGGAAAGCAAAGGGGAUCGAUUCUUUUUCUUCUUUUUGGCUAUCAAGAGGAGGAAGCUACUGGAAGAAAAUUUCAGACUAGAUUUACUGAGUUUUUUUUUCCUUCUUCCAAUCUCUUUCAGUUCCUUGAUGAUUAUGUUCAAAUUUUUUAUUAAGUUUUUUUUUUCCCUUCAAUUUUAGCAUGAAUUAAUUUCUAUCUUCUAGAGUUUGAGAUGUAGCCUAAUUAUAAUUAUGUGAAUCUUCCUUUAAUUGAAUUAAUUGGUAUUUGUUCCGAUUGUUGAGUAUUUCAUUCUGGACUUAAAGCUUGUGAAUGAUCGAUCACCGUUCACUUGAGUUGGGAUUCAAUUUGAG
rnacentral:lncRNA from 1 species